AAUGGACGUUGGCGGCGUGGAUUAGGCAUGCAAGUCGUGCGGAAAGGCUCCUUCGGGAGUACUCGAGCGGCGUAAGGGAGAGUAACGCGUGGAUAUCUACCCCCUGGACUGGGAUAGCGGCGGGAAACUGCCGGUAAUACCAGAUAAUGUCUGCGGACCAAAGGUGUGAUUCCGCCGGGGGAUGAGUUCGCGUCCUAUUAGCUAGUUGGUAGGGUAAUGGCCUACCAAGGCAAAGAUGGGUACCGGGUGUGAGAGCAUGGCCCGGCUCACUGGGACUGAGACACUGCCCAGACACCGACGGGUGGCUGCAGUCGAGAAUCUUCGGCAAUGGGCGCAAGUCUGACCGAGCGACGCCGCGUGCGGGAUGAAGGCCUUCGGGUUGUAAACCGCUGUCAGAGGGGAGGAAAUGCGUGAGAGUUCUCUCUCACGUUUGACCUAUCCUCAGAGGAAGUACGGGCUAAGUUCGUGCCAGCCGCCGCAGUAA
rnacentral:rRNA from 1 species